GGGAUUGUUCACGUCCAAGAUGCGUGUUUAUACUCAUAUAUCUCGCAGUCCCCGAGAGGCUUUUACGUUCACUAUAUGGUAUAUGUUGCUUGGUUUUGGGAUCACGGUAAUAUUUGGCCAUACCAAAAUCAACCAUAUAUACCAUGUUUGCAUUUCGAGAGGAAGGUCGGCCUAUUAGGAAAUUAUCGGGUUUGAUGUCUCUAUAAACAAGGUUUUUUUCAUGAAUCGUCUGAACUCUGGAAAGCUUUGAAAUGUCAGAGAAAAUUUAAACAAAUUGAAAACCUUAUAGGAACAACUUAGGAAACUUACCAUCUGUUUCGCCGUCAUAGCCACCGUUUUGACACUGAAUCGACGACCGCACCAUUCAAAUAGGUCCUCUAAACUAGGUCCCAGUAAAUCAAUAACAAGGAUAUUAUGUAGUCCUUCCUGCCCGAAAUAGUAAACAUUAGGAAUGCCAGCUAUUUGC